UUUAAAUGGCAAAGGUUAUGGUAAAGGUUUUUGGCACCUUUCUUUUACUUGUGCAAUUCAUUUAUUAGAAG
rnacentral:tRNA from 2 species